rnacentral:misc_RNA from 1 species
UUGGAUGAUGUGUGGAAUGAGGAUUGUGAAAAAUGGGAUAAUCUAAAGAAAAUAUUGUUGGGUGGUUCUAGUGGAAGUAAGAUAUUAGUAACUACUCGCUCCAAAAUAGUAGCACAGAUAUCUAGCACAGAGGAACCUUAUCUUUUGGAAGGCUUAUCUCCAAGUAAAUCUUGGUCUUUGUUCCUUCAUGUAGCACUUAGGGGACAAGAACCAAAAGAUUCAAAGAUAAAAAAAAUUGUUGAGGAGAUUGUGAAGAAAUGCGUCGGAGUUCCCCUUGCAAUAAAGAC